UACGUAGGGGGCAAGCGUUGUCCGGAGUUACUGGGCGUAAAGCGCACGCAGGCGGUCUCUUAAGUUUGGAGUGACAGUUGGUGGCUUAACUGCCAAAGUGCUUCGAAAACUGAGAGACUUGAGGGCUUCAGAGGGACACGGAAUUCCGGGUGGAGUGGUGAAAUGCGUAGAUAUGCGGAGGAACACCGAUGGCGAAGGCAAUCCCCUGGGCCUGCACUGACGCUCAUGCACGAAAGCGUGGGGAGCAAACAGG
rnacentral:rRNA from 1 species